rnacentral:rRNA from 1 species
GACGUAGGGGGCGAGCGUUGUCCGGAUUUAUUGGGCGUAAAGAGCUCGUAGGCGGCUCAGCAAGUCAGGUGUGAAACCUCCAGGCUUAACCUGGAGACGCCACUUGAUACUGCUGUGGCUGGAGUUCGGUAGGGGAGUGGGGAAUUCCUGGUGUAGCGGUGAAAUGCGCAGAUAUCAGGAGGAACACCGGUGGCGAAGGCGCCACUCUGGGCCGAAACUGACGCUGAGGAGCGAAAGCGUGGGUAGCAAACAGG